rnacentral:piRNA from 1 species
UGCACACAGAGUUAGUGGUCGCCUAGCC